GCAUUGAAUUGAAGUCCUAGUAAACGGCGGCUGUAACUCUAACGGUCCAAAGGUAGCGAAAUUCCUUGUCAGGUAAGUUCUGACCUGCAUGAAUGGUGUAAUGACUUCUCCGCUGUCUCCAAUAUGAGCUCAAUGAAAUUGAAUUGUCCGUGAAGAUGCGGACGACUUACAAUCAGACGGAAAGACCCUAUGAAUCUUUACUACAUUUUUAUAUUGC
rnacentral:rRNA from 1 species